rnacentral:misc_RNA from 1 species
GAUGAAGAACGCAGCGAAAUGCGAUAAGUAAUGUGAAUUGCAGAAUUCAGUGAAUCAUCGAAUCUUUGAACGCACAUUGCGCCCCCUGGUAUUCCGGGGGGCAUGCCUGUCCGAGCGUCAUUACAACCCUCAAGCUCAGCUUGGUGUUGGGCCCCGCCGCCCCGGCGGGCCCUAAAGUCAGUGGCGGUGCCGUCCGGCUCCGAGCGUAGUAAUUCUUCUCGCUCUGGAGGUCCGGUCGUGUGCUCGCCAGCAACCCCCAAUUUUUUUCAGGUUGACCACGGAUCAGGUAGGGAUACCCGCUGAACUUAAGCAUAUCAAUAAGCGGAGGA